CAUUUUGCUACUUCAUGCAGUCUUGCAGCAUUUCUAAUUAAAAGAGCUGCUCUUCUGAACAGGUUUGCGGAGACACAGAGGGCAAUAUUCAGGAUAAUAGGAGAAGAGAAGAGGAGGGACACCGCAGAAGCACAGCCAUGAGACCGAAGACACAGGAUAACGGUGGUAUCAGAUUACAGUAGCCUUUACAGGAUGAUUCCCUCUGGCCCUGUUUGAAGCACACCAGUCAGAUUCUCUAGGUGGAAACCACAGGGAACCAGAUGGCAAAUUAAGGAAGCUUUACUCUGGAUUACAAAUUCCUCAGCCAGAAGCACAAAAAAACCUGAAAUUGCUUUGAACAAAGUCCUUAGAGUUGAUUUGGAAUGAGAAGAAUUGGGUUUGAGACUUUAUGCAAUAAUUUUACAGCUAAGUAACACUGGGUAAGUUAUUUCAUCUGUCCAAAUCUCAGUUUCCUUUUUGGUAAAAGCAUAAAAUACCUAAUAUUUAUGUACAGGUUUUUAUCAAUAUUACGUAAGUUAAAGGAAGUGAAAAUAAUAUAUAUUACCAGUG
rnacentral:lncRNA from 1 species